rnacentral:rRNA from 1 species
UAGGGAAUAUUGCAAAAUGGGCGAAAGCCCGAUGCAGCAACGCCGCGUGGGCGAUGAAGGCCUUCGGGUCGUAAAGCCCUUUUUGAGGGGAUGAGGAAGGACAGUACCCUCAGAAUAAGCCUCGGCUAACUACGUGCCAGCAGCCGCGGUAAAACGUAGGAGGCGAGCGUUAUCCGGAUUUACUGGGCGUAAAGCGCGUGCAGGCGGAUUGGAGAGUUGGAUGUGAAAGCUCCCGGCUUAACUGGGAGAGGUCGUUCAAUACUUCCAGUCUUGAGUGCGGUAGAGGGCAGCGGAAUUCCGGGUGUCGUGGUGAAAUGCGUAGAUAUCCGGAGGAACACCAGUGGCGAAAGCGGCUUCCUGGACUGUAACUGACGCUCAGACGCGAAAGCUAGGGUAGCAAACG